rnacentral:rRNA from 1 species
GAUGAACGCUGGCUACAGGCUUAACACAUGCAAGUCGAGGGGAAACGACGGGGAAGCUUGCUUCCCCGGGCGUCGACCGGCGCACGGGUGAGUAACGCGUAUCCAACCUGCCUCUGACUGAGGGAUAACCCGUCGAAAGUCGGCCUAAUACCUCAUGGCAUCGUCUGCGGGCAUCCAACGACGAUUAAAGAUUUCAUCGGUCAGGGAUGGGGAUGCGUCUGAUUAGCUUGUUGGCGGGGUAACGGCCCACCGAGGCUACGAUCAGUAGGGGUUCUGAGAGGAAGGUCCCCCACAUUGGAACUGAGACACGGUCCAAACUCCUACGGGAGGCAGCAGUGAGGAAUAUUGGUCAAUGGGCGAGAGCCUGAACCAGCCAAGUAGCGUGCAGGAAGACGGCCCUAUGGGUUGUAAACUGCUUUUAUGCGGGGAUAAAGUGAGGGACGUGUCCUUCAUUGCAGGUACCGCAUGAAUAAGGACCGGCUAAUUCCGUGCCAGCAGCCGCGGUAAUACGGAAGGUCCGGGCGUUAUCCGGAUUUAUUGGGUUUAAAGGGAGCGUAGGCCGUGGAUUAAGCGUGUUGUGAAAUGCAGGUGCUCAACGUCUGCACUGCAGCGCGAACUGGUCCACUAGAGUGUGCGCAACGCAGGCGGAAUUCGUCGUGUAGCGGUGAAAUGCUUAGAUAUGACGAAGAACUCCGAUUGCGAAGGCAGCUUGCGGGAGCACAACUGACGCUGAAGCUCGAAAGUGCGGGUAUCGAACAGG